rnacentral:lncRNA from 1 species
ACAACUCAUUCAAUGGAUGUGCUAUAUCAGUAUAAUAAAGAAUUUGAAUAUGAUAAAAUAUACAUGCAUCCAAAAACCUAUGCACCUUUCUUAAAAAGCUGCAAUCCUCUUUCAUUCUCUCAAUUGUAUUAAUUUUGGUUGGAACUAGUUUUAUUUCAUAAAAUCUACAUAAAUGUCUAAUAAUUAUGAUUUCUUAAUUCCAAAUGUAAAUUUUACACCUGAUAAUGUAAGAUGAACUUUUUCAAGCCAAAUCAAUAUUUUUUUACAAU